CAAUGUUGUAAGAUACACUUGUUCUGCAACAUUUUUGCAUGUGGAGGCUGCUGUGGUGUGUGUAUUUCAUGCAUGCAACCCAUCCAACCAUCCCAUGGGCCACCAUGCUUUAGUGGAGGUGUUUGCGUGGUUGUGCAUUAUUUACUAUGGUGUGGCCCACGUGCAUGGGGCCCACUGUGGUGUGUGUAUGGCAUGAAAUCCAAUCUGUCCAGUCCAUCAUGUGGGCCACCACUCUGUAGUGGUGGUUUUUUUAGAGGCAGUCU